rnacentral:rRNA from 1 species
CAGCCGCCACGGUAAUACAGAGGGUGCGAGCGUUAAUCGGAUUUACUGGGCGUAAAGCGUGCGUAGGCGGCUUCUUAAGUCGGAUGUGAAAUCCCUGAGCUUAACUUAGGAAUUGCAUUCGAUACUGGGAAGCUAGAGUAUGGGAGAGGAUGGUAGAAUUCCAGGUGUAGCGGUGAAAUGCGUAGAGAUCUGGAGGAAUACCGAUGGCGAAGGCAGCCAUCUGGCCUAAUACUGACGCUGAGGUACGAAAGCAUGGGGAGCAAACAGGAUUAGAUACCCCUGUAGUCCCUGUCUCUUAUAA